rnacentral:lncRNA from 1 species
GCUCACCUGACCUGAAAGGUCAAGUGAGUUUUUCUCAUCACUUGGCGUCCGUCGUCCGUCGUCCGUCCGUAAACUUUUACAAAAAUCUUCUCCUCUGAAACUACUGGGCCAAAUUCUACCAAACUUGGCCACAAUCAUCCUUGGGAUAUCUAGUUUAAAAAAUGUGUGGCGUGACCCGUCAAACCAACCAAGAUGGCCGCCAUGGCUAAAAAUAGAACAUAGGGGUAAAAUGCAGUUUUUGGCUUAUAACUCAAAAAACCAAAGCAUUUAGAGCAAAUCUGACAUGGGGGUUAAAUUGUUUAUCAGGUGAAGAUCUAUCUGCCCUGAAAUUUUCAGACGAAUCGGAUAACCUGUUGUUGGGUUGCUGCCCCUGAAAUGGUUAUUUUAAGGAAAUUUUGCAGUUUUUGGUUAUUAUCUUGAAUACUAUUAUAGAUAGAGAUAAACUGUAAACAGCAAUAAUGUUCAGCAGAGUAAGACCUACAAAUAAGUCAACAUGACCAAAAUUGCCAGUCGACCCCUUAAGGAGUUAUUGCCCUUUAUAGUCAAUUUUUAACAACUUUUCAUCAUUUUUUGUAACUUUUCUAAAAAUCUUCUUCUCUAAAACUACUUUGCCAAAUUUAAUCAAACUAGGCGACAAUUAUCAUUGUGGUUUAUAGUUUAAAAAAUGUGUCCGAUGACCCAGCCUACCAAACAAAAUGGCCGACAUGGCUAAAAUUAGAACAUAGUGGUAAAAUGCAGUUUUUGCUUUAUAUCUUUGAAACCAAGACAUUUAGGGCAAAUCUUUCAAGAUUUUAAUGUCCAUCAGAAUAAGAUAUAUCCCCUCACAAAUUUUCAGUUGAAUCGGACAACCUAUUAUCUUGAAUACUAUUAUAGAUAGAGAUAAACUGUAAACAGCAAUAAUGUUCAGCAAAGUAAGAUCUACAAAUAAGUCAGCAUGAUCAAAAUUGUUAGAGAACCCCCUAAGGAGUUAUUGCCCUUUAGAGUCAAUAUUAAACAACUUUUCCUCAUUUUUGUAACUUGUAUAAAAAUCUUUUCUAAAACUACUUGGCCAAUUUAACCAAACUUGGCCACAAUCAUAAUACUAGGGUAUCUAUUUUUAAAAAGAGUGUCUAAUGACCCCGUCUACCAACAAAGAUGGCCGACAUCAGUAAACACAUUAACAGGUGAGCGACACAGGCUCUUGAGAGCCUCUAGUUUAUAUAU